UAAUUCAAAGCAAAAAUGGGAAAGGAAAAGACUCCCAUCAACAUCGUCGUAAUCGUACACGUAGAUUCCGGCAAGUCCACCACAACGGGCCACCUGAUCUACAAAUGUGGUGGAAUCGACAAGCGAACCAUCGAAAAGUUUGAGAAGGAGGCUGCUGAGAUGGGAAAGGGCUCCUUCAAGUACGCCUGGGUCUUAGACAAACUGAAAGCUGAGCGUGAGUGUGGUAUCACUAUUGACAUCUCCCUGUGGAAAUUCGAGACUAGCAAAUACUAUGUGACCAUCAUUGAUGCCCCAGGACACAGAGACUUCAUCAAAAACGUGAUUACAGGCACAUCCCAGGCUGACUGUGCUGUCCUGAUUGUUGCUGCUGGUGUUGGUGAAUUUGAAGCUGGUAUCUCCAAGAACGGGCCGACCCGCGAGCAUGCUCUUCUGGCUUACACCCUGGGUGUGAAACAGCUGAUUGUUGGUGUCAACAAAAUGGAUUCCACCGAGCCACCAUACAGUCAGAAGAGAUACGAGGAAAUCAUUAAGGAAGUCAGCACCUACAUUAAGAAAAUUGGCUACAACCCUGACACGGUAGCAUUUGUGCCAAUUUCUGGUUGGAAUGGUGACAACAUGCUGGAGCCAAGUGCUAAUAUGCCUUGGUUCAAGGGAUGGAAAGUCACCUGCAAAGAUGGCAAUGCACCAUGCUGCUGGAAGCUUUGGAUUGUAUCCUACCACCAACUCGUCCAACUGACAAGCCUCUGUGACUGCCCCUCCAGGAUGUCUAUAAAAUUGGAGGCAUCGGCACUGUUCCUGUGGGCCGAGUGGAGACUGGUGCUCUCAAACCUGGCAUGGUGGUUACCUUUGCUCCAGUCAAUGUAACAACUGAAGUCAAGUCUGUUGAAAUGCACCAUGAAGCUUUGAGUGAAGCUCUUCCUGGGGACAAUGGAGGCUUCAUGUAAAGAACGUGUCGGUCAAAGAUGUUAGACGAGGCAAUGUUGCUGGUGACAGCAAACACAUAAGCUAUAUGAGGAAGCGGUGUGCAUUGUUUCGGAUACACGUGUGCAUGAGUGUGUUUAAUUGUGUCGCAUCUUAUAUAACCAGAAUGGAUCGCUCAAGUUGCUAUGUGAAGGAGAAACAGUGCAUGAAGCCAGAUAAAAGGAAAGCAACCAAAGUCAGAAGAUAA